rnacentral:rRNA from 1 species
GAUGAACGCUAGCUACAGGCUUAACACAUGCAAGUCGAGGGGAAACGAUAGAGAAAGCUUGCUUUUUCUAGGCGUCGACCGGCGCACGGGUGAGUAACGCGUAUCCAACCUGCCCAUCACUUGGGGAUAACCUUGCGAAAGUAAGACUAAUACCCAAUGACGUCUCUAGAAGACAUCUGAAGGAGAUUAAAGAUUUAUCGGUGAUGGAUGGGGAUGCGUCUGAUUAGCUUGUUGGCGGGGUAACGGCCCACCAAGGCGACGAUCAGUAGGGGUUCUGAGAGGAAGGCCCCCCCACAUUGGAACUGAGACACGGUCCAAACUCCUACGGGAGGCAGCAGUGAGGAAUAUUGGUCAAUGGACGAGAGUCUGAACCAGCCAAGUAGCGUGCAGGAUGACGGCCCUAUGGGUUGUAAACUGCUUUUAUAAGGGAAUAAAGUGAGUCUCGUGAGACUUUUUGCAUGUACCUUAUGAAUAAGGACCGGCUAAUUCCGUGCCAGCAGCC